rnacentral:Y_RNA from 1 species
GGUUGGUCCGAGUGCAGUGGUGUUUACGAGUAAUUGAUCACAAUCAGUUACAGAUUCCUUUGUCCCUUCUCCACUCCCACUGCUCCACUUGACCAGCCUUAA